GACGAACGCUGGCGGCGUGCUUAACACAUGCAAGUCGAACGGGAUUUAGUAGACAGAAGCUUCGGUGGAAGAUUACUAAUGAGAGUGGCGAACGGGUGAGUAACGCGUGAGCAACCUGCCUAUGACAGUGGGAUAGCCUCGGGAAACCGGGAUUAAUACCGCAUAAAAUCGUAGAAACACAUGUUUUAACGGUCAAAGAUUUAUCGGUCAUAGAUGGGCUCGCGUCUGAUUAGCUAGUUGGUGAGAUAACAGCCCACCAAGGCGACGAUCAGUAGCCGGUCUGAGAGGAUGAACGGCCACAUUGGAACUGAGACACGGUCCAAACUCCUACGGGAGGCAGCAGUGGGGAAUAUUGCACAAUGGGGGAAACCCUGAUGCAGCGACGCCGCGUGAACGAAGAAGGUAUUCGUAUCGUAAAGUUCUGUCCUAUGGGAAGAUAAUGGCAGUACCAUAGAAGAAAGCUCCGGCUAAAUACGUGCCAGCAGCCGCGGUAAUACGUAUGGAGCGAGCGUUGUCCGGAAUUAUUGGGCGUAAAGGGUACGCAGGCGGUUUAAUAAGUCGAAUGUUAAAGAUCGGGGCUCAACCCCGUAAAGCAUUGGAAACUGAUAAACUUGAGUAGUGGAGAGGAAAGUGGAAUUCCUAGUGUAGUGGUGAAAUACGUAGAUAUUAGGAGGAAUACCAGUAGCGAAGGCGACUUUCUGGACACAAACUGACGCUGAGGUACGAAAGCGUGGGGAGCAAACAGG
rnacentral:rRNA from 1 species